rnacentral:rRNA from 1 species
CAUGCAGUCGNNCGGCAGCGGGGGAAAGUUUGUUUUCCUGCCNGGCGAGUGGCGAAACGGGUGAGNUAAUACAUUGGAACGUGCCCUGUAGUGGGGGAUAACUAUUGGGAAGAUUGGCUAAUCCCGCAUACGCCCUGNAGGGUGAAAAGUGGGGGACCGCAAGGCCUNCAUGCUNNAUAGGAGCGGCCGAUGUUUGAUUAGCUAGUUGGUGGGGUAAAGGCCUACCAAGGGGACGAUCCGUAGCUGGUCUGGAGAGGACGUUCAGCCACCCUGGGACUGAGACCCGGCCCAGAUUCUUACGGGAGGCAGCAGUGGGGAAUUUUGGACAAUGGGCGAAAGCCUGAUCCAGCAAUGCCGCGUGUGUGAAGAAGGCCUUCGGGUUGUAAAGCACUUUUGUCCGGAAAGAAAUGGCUCUGGUUAAUACCCGGAGUUGAUGACGGUACCGGAAGAAUAAGGACCGGCUAACUACGUGCCAGCAGCCGCGGUAAUACGUAGGGUCCAAGCGUUAAUCGGAAUUACUGGGCGUAAAGCGUGCGCAGGCGGUUGUGCAAGACCGAUGUGAAAUCCCCGGGCUUAACCUGGGAAUUGCAUUGGUGACUGCACGGCUAGAGUGUGUCAGAGGGAGGUAGAAUUCCACGUGUAGCAGUGAAAUGCGUAGAGAUGUGGAGGAAUACCGAUGGCGAAGGCAGCCUCCUGGGAUAACACUGACGCUCAUGCACGAAAGCGUGGGGAGCAAACAGGAUUAGAUACCCUGGUAGUCCACGCCCUAAACGAUGUCAACUAGUUGUUGGGGAUUCAUUUCCUUAGUAACGUAGCUAACGCGUGAAGUUGACCGCCUGGGGAGUACGGUCGCAAGAUUAAAACUCAAAGGAAUUGACGGGGACCCGCACAAGCGGUGGAUGAUGUGGAUUAAUUCGAUGCAACGCGAAAAACCUUACCUACCCUUGACAUGCCACUAACGAAGCAGAGAUGCAUUAGGUGCUCGAAAGAGAAAGUGGACACAGGUGCUGCAUGGCUGUCGUCAGCUCGUGUCGUGAGAUGUUGGGUUAAGUCCCGCAACGAGCGCAACCCUUGUCUCUAGUUGCUACGAAAGGGCCCUCUAGAGAGACUGCCGGUGACAAACCGGAAGGAAGGUGGGGAUGACGUCAAGUCCUCAUGGCCCUUAUGGGUAGGGCUUCCACACGUCAUACAAUGGUGCAUACAGAGGGUUGCCAAGCCGCGAGGUGGAGCUAAUCCCAGAAAAUGCAUCGUAGUCCGGAUCGUNAGUCUGCACCUCGACUCCGUGAAGCUGGAAUCGCUAGUNAANUCGCGGAUCAGCANNUGCCGCGGUGAAUANCGUUCCCGGGUCUUGUACANCAUCCGCCCUUCACACCAUGGGAAGUGGGCUUUNNACCAGANNAAGUUUUUCACUAACGCGUCCCGGAGGGCGUAUANCNCCCCGU